rnacentral:lncRNA from 1 species
CAUUUUCAUGCUCAUUUAUAAAGAGCUGCUUUACCUUGUUGCAAACUCUCAAGAAGAGCCAGUGGAACAUAGUGGGAGGUAGGCAGUGCUUGGGAUAAGGACGUGAGUGUCUCCCAGCAGGAUGUCUCCCAGGCCAUUUAGCAGCUCUCCUGUAACUAAAACAGAUUAAAAAACCCUGCCACCAUACCAACUGUGGCUAUCCUCCAAUCCCAAACAUUUCAGGGAGUGCAUAGUUUGCAUUUGUCCUUCAUAGCUCUUGACAAGACAAAGGUCUAGUUAUUAGUUUCAGGCAACUGGAAGACUUGCUCUUUGUGGCAACUUUGACUUCUUUUCCAGGAACUGGAAAAGAGUGAUUCUUCUCUCAGAUGGGGAUUUAAUGAUUUUGACAUUAACUUGGGCUCAUUGCUUUCCUUCAAGUAUUUUGCAUUCUUUAGUUCUAGAUAAUUGUUCAUCAGGGCAAUUACAGAAAACAGCACAGCCUGGACCCCCAAAGUAGUGAAAACUCAAUGUUUUAAAUUAAAUCCACACCAACUGUGAGGCCUCAGCUCCUUGAAAAUUAAAAUAACAGUUCCUUCUUUCAUGUUGUUUUAUCAAAUCAGCAUUUAGCGACUGAAAGAAUUUUUAUACUAGUAUAUUUGACUUUGAGGGUGGAAUUGCCAGCUGUUGAAGCAAGAGCUUCCUAACUCGGAGCAAUUUCUCUUCUAAGUAUUUUUUUUUUUUAUUGAUAGAUUCUUAUUCAUGCAAAAUAUGAGAAUUUCAUGAUGCUGAGAAAACUCCUAGAGCACAAAAGCAAAUGAGAGAUGGGCUUACGAAAUCUACUUGCCAUUCAGGUUCACAUUCCAUUCAACCUCUUGAUUGUGGUAGCUGGACCCAUAUGAAAAUUUAAUAUAGCUUUCCCAAGGAAAACGAUUGUCAGUGUGAUGCUGUCCCUGUCUUUCAAGUACAGUUUUCCUGUCCUUUCUCCUUUCAAUUAUUUCCUUCUGACCUCAUACAAGAACAAGAUGGAGAAAAGAAAUCAAGAUCUGGUAAAGAAAUACAGACUGGUAAAAGAAAUCACCUGCCAUCCAACCUGAAAAAUUAAGUCAUCCGAAAGUGGAGGGUGUUUAUCUGGAAUAUCUGUUCAAAAAGAAGAAAAUUUACAAGUCUUUCCUUCUUCCACUUCCCACACUAGAAAAACUCUGAUUUAUAUAGCAAAUAUUUUUUCCUAGUUUUCUUAACCCUUCUUUCCUGUACACAUUAUAAAUCUCCACAAAUUUUUCACAAAUUAAUCACAAAAUUUUUCAUUAAAACAAGUAAUCACAGUAGGAUGUCAUGUGGUGUUUGAUAUUCAUCCAUGAUCAGUGGAACCAGCAUGAGCCUUUUCAAUGAUUUCAGUGAGCCCUCCAUCAAAGCACCAUGUCUGAAUUGCAACUGCUUUCAUUUAUACACUUU